rnacentral:rRNA from 1 species
UUCGGAAUUACUGGGCGUAAAGGGCUCGUAGGCGGCCAACUAAGUCAGACGUGAAAUCCCUCGGCUUAACCGGGGAACUGCGUCUGAUACUGGAUGGCUUGAGGUUGGGAGAGGGAUGCGGAAUUCCAGGUGUAGCGGUGAAAUUCGUAGAUAUCGGGAGGAACACCGGUGGCGAAGGCGGCGACCUGGGUCGAUACUGACGCUGAGGUGCGAAAGCGUGGGGAGCAAACAGG